rnacentral:rRNA from 1 species
GUAUAGCAAUAGCUACUUGCAUCAUAGUAGAUAUGAUGCAAGAUCGACUAUGUUGAAUAAAAUUCUAGGUAGAAUUAUGAUAAUGACAUUGUCUGCCUAUGUGUCUUGACCAAAUUACGUGCCAGCAGUCGCGGUAAUACGUAGAAGACUAGUGUUAUUCAUGUUUAAUCGGUUUAAAGGGUACCUAGACGGUAGAUCAAGCUUUCUAAUAAAGGAAAAGGACUAAUUUACUAGAGUUACUUAUGAGGGGGUAUUAAAGUACUGCUGGUGUAGAGAUGAAAUUCUGUCAUACCUCUUUUCAAAAGAAAAACCAUGGCACAGGUAUAGGCGAAGGCAUCCCCUUAUGUGAUAACUGACGUUGAGGGACGAAGGCUUUGUGUAGCGAACAGGAUUAGAUACCCCAGUAGUCGAAGCAGAAAAUGAUGAAUGUCAUAGAUUAGAUAUAUAAGUUUAUUCUAUAAAUGAAAGUGUAAGCAUUCCACCUCAUGAGUAAUUUGGCAACAUUGGAACUGAAAUCAUUAGACCGUUUCUGAAACCAGUAGUGAAGUAUGUUGUUUAAUUUGAUGACCCGCAAAAAACCUUACCACAAUUUGAAUAUUUAUAUUAUUUAUUGUUUUAUUAUUAAUUUWYUUAUAKUAWKAWUWAUUGUUUUAUUAUUAAUUUUCUUAUAGUAAGAAUAUUAAUAAAGAGGCAAUAAGAUAUAUUUACAAGCGUUGCACGGCUGUCUUCAGUUAAUGUCGCGAGACUUUGGUUAGUUCCAUUAAAUUAACGUAAACCCUUACUUUAUUUUUAUAUAGAGUAGUUCCCCGCUAUAUUGGAUAUGAUAACAGG